AACGAACGCUGGCGGCAUGCCUAACACAUGCAAGUCGAACGAGACCUUCGGGUCUAGUGGCGCACGGGUGCGUAACGCGUGGGAAUCUGCCCUUAGGUUCGGAAUAACUCCCCGAAAGGGGUGCUAAUACCGGCUAAUGUCUUCGGACCAAAGAUUUAUCGCCUUUGGAUGGGCCCGCGUUGGAUUAGCUAGUUGGUAGGGUAAAAGCCUACCAAGGCGACGAUCCAUAGCUGUUCUGAGAGGAUGAUCAGACACACUGGGACUGAGACACAGCCCAGACUCCUACGGGAGGCAGCAGUGGGGAAUAGUGGAAAAAGGGCGAAAGACUGAUCCAGCAAUGCCGCGUAAGUGAUGAAGGACGUAGGGUUGUAAAGCUCUUUUACACGGGAGGAUAAUGACAGUACCGGGAGAAUAAGAUCCGGCUAACUCCGUG
rnacentral:rRNA from 1 species